rnacentral:rRNA from 1 species
AUGCCGCGUGAGUGAAGAAGGCCCUUGGGUUGUAAAGCUCUUUCGUCGGGGAAGAAAAUGACUGUACCCGAAUAAGAAGGUCCGGCUAACUUCGUGCCAGCAGCCGCGGUAAUACGAAGGGACCUAGCGUAGUUCGGAAUUACUGGGCUUAAAGAGUUCGUAGGUGGUUAAAAAAGUUGGUGGUGAAAUCCCAGAGCUUAACUCUGGAACUGCCAUCAAAACUUUUUAGCUAGAGUAUGAUAGAGGAAAGCAGAAUUUCUAGUGUAGAGGUGAAAUUCGUAGAUAUUAGAAAGAAUACCAAUUGCGAAGGCAGCUUUCUGGAUCAUUACUGACACUGAGGAACGAAAGCAUGGGUAGCGAAGAGGAUUAGAUACCCUCGUAGUCCAUGCCGUAAACGAUGUGUGUUAGACGUUGGAAAUUUAUUUUCAGUG